rnacentral:rRNA from 1 species
GAAGAAAGCUGGCGGCGUGCUUAACACAUGCAAGUCGAACGGAAAGGCCCUGCUUUUGUGGGGUGCUCGAGUGGCGAACGGGUGAGUAACACGUGAGUAACCUGCCCUUGACUUUGGGAUAACUUCAGGAAACUGGGGCUAAUACCGGAUAGGAGCUCCUGCUGCAUGGUGGGGGUUGGAAAGUUUCGGCGGUUGGGGAUGGACUCGCGGCUUAUCAGCUUGUUGGUGGGGUAGUGGCUUACCAAGGCUUUGACGGGUAGCCGGCCUGAGAGGGUGACCGGCCACAUUGGGACUGAGAUACGGCCCAGACUCCUACGGGAGGCAGCAGUGGGGAAUAUUGCACAAUGGGCGGAAGCCUGAUGCAGCAACGCCGCGUGCGGGAUGACGGCCUUCGGGUUGUAAACCGCUUUGGCCUGUGACGAAGCGUGAGUGACGGUAAUGGGUAAAGAAGCACCGGCUAACUACGUG